CCAGCCCUAAUGCACCGGAUCCCAUCAAAACUCCAGUUAAGCGUGCUUGGGCGAGAGUAGUACUAGGAUGGGUGACCUGGAAGUCCUCGUGUUGCA
rnacentral:rRNA from 1 species